rnacentral:misc_RNA from 1 species
UUUCUUAGGAACUGUGGUUUUGCAGAGAAGACAAGAAUGUACUAAUUUAAGCAAGAUUUCAAAACCCGUCUAAUGAAGCAAAACGUGUUGCUCCAUUCCAUCAUUCACAUUUAAACAUAAAUUUACCUUACGAGUUGAGUGAAUUAAACGAUAGACCUAAUUUGUUGAAUCGAUUUGCUAAUUAAUCAGGAAGAGCCCAAAUUUGAUAUCAUUAUUGAUCGAAAUUCUUCAAAAUCGGCGAAGCUAUCACCAUUCUUGUCAACCCAUUUUUUGCACUCAUUAAGGCUGCAUUAAUCACAUCACAUCCAAGGCUACCGAAAACCUUGCGCAACUCUCCAGCCGAGACUAAUUACUCCAUCUCUAUCAUCAUUACAGAUGAGAAACACGUCCAUGAGAUAAUUUUCCUCUUUGUCUUCGUUCAAAGAAUCGAUGAACUCAUCCAAGUGGAUGAACCCAUCUCCAUUACAUUCUAAUUCUCUUACCAUUCCUUCAGCUUCCUUUAUAGCUUUGGAUUUUUCAAAGACAAAGGCAAGGCGGAGAAGCAAUUCGCUGAGAUCGAUCCCUUUUGAAAUGAUUGGGAACGGCCAUGGCAACCAAAGGUUAACAAAUCAGAAAUGGAAGGCAGUCUCCUGCCUUUGCUAUGCUUGCGUUUGCAGACGUUGUCCAAUGCUCUCAAAUGGUGAAUGAAGGUAUUGGCCUCUAUUUG